GUCCAUGCUACAAUAAAAAAAAUUAUACUUAAUGUUGCUGUUGAAACAUUUGCCUAUAUAGUAAUUAAGUACAAGUAGUGUGGCCCCAAAUCGGUCUUGGUCUUGCAGUCUUGCAAAAAUGUUAGAACAAGACCAAAACCGAAUAUUUUUAGCGAGACCGACACUGCAAGACUCUUGUGUCCUGUAGUUAAGACUGCGGGUCGUUUCAGGGAGUAAGUAUAGGAGUUCGGGGUAGGGACUCGACUUCGCUUAGGGACUCUAUGAGGAGUAAAAUGAUAUGAUUUUAUUUUUGGAAAAUUGGACUUAUGCGAAUUACGAAUGCGAAUGAAAAUAUCCAUUAAAAGAAAAAAGAGUGCAUCCCUAGUUAAGACCAUAGGUUUUGUGUGUGUAAAAGUGAGGGGUGCCUUGUCGGCAUCAUCAAAGGUCAAGUACUGAACUCUCAUAGAAAUUUUGCAGCUAUUCGGAAGUACAACGUUAAGAUACGCGUGCGGCGGCUUCUAUUGCGCAUACAAAGAAUCGUCUCCGUCGCGCCGCACGCACAAUAUUUGAAACCGUUUGAUUGCCGCCACAGAGUACAAGUGUUCCAAAGUAAUCGAAUAAUGUAAAAAGCGUGCAAUAAUAUUUAUGUACUCUUUAGGAGCAGGAAUAUAAUAACAUAUGAGAGAACUGUUUAAAUAAAUAAAUUGAUAUAUUGACUGUUGCAUCCCAAUUUAUUUUUGAAAAUAUUCAUUUACAUUUAAAAUACAGUCAAGUUAAUGUCAUUAAUUUGUUUUCUACAUGUUUAAACCAUGUUUUAGUACAUUGAAAAUUAUUAAAUGUAAACGUUUAUUAAGAAACAGACGGAAUCCCGCGGGACACAGUUGAUAGUUCAGUUGGUUAGUUAGUUGGAUCAUCAGCACUGAUUGCUUAGGUCGUGGGUUCAAACCCCAAACGGAGUCAGUUGAUUUUUUGAAUUUCUCAUGAGAUGUUUAGACAAUUAUAAAUUUGGUUAGUCUUUAUCACGCCUAUAUUAAUUCAAGCCCAAAAUGAUCUUACUCUGUUGCGUUGUUCUAAUAUCUAAAGUAACGUUGAAUAAAAAGCGACAGGCUAAUAGGUAAUUGCAAGACUUACAAGACUUUUGCUGCAAGAACAAGACCAAGAUCAAGACUGGGAGUACAAUACCAAGACCAAGACCAGGUGUAUUAAGGCAAGACCAAGACCAAGACCAAGACCAGGUGUAUUAAGACAAGACCAAGACCAAGACCAAGACCAGGUGUAUUAAGGCAAGACCAAGACCAAGACUGGCCAAGUCCCGUCUUGUUCUUGCAUUUGGCCAACACUAACAUUCUGGAGCCAAGGCAACAACCAGUUUGGAGCGACACUUAUGUGACCUUCUAGCAUCAUGUCGAGCUGGUCUUGGGAGCACCCAUCACGAGGUCCAACUCUAUACGCGGAGGGUGGCAGCGCCGCUGGCAGCAACCAGGCGAUUCCAGAUCUCGGCUCCAGACCGGCUGCAAGCCCUGCACAAAGCGCAGCUCGCAUUGCCCGUGCAUCUUCGACACACAACCAUACGACGCGGCCGUCAGCUCUCACCACGCGCUCUGCCCACUAUCAUUGUUCGUAAUCAGCGCGGUCAUCCGGCAACUCCAAGUGGGCAACGAUGUCUGCUUGAAGACGAGCGGAAGCCAGAGACGCUCGUGUGGCCGGUUCGCUGAGGGCUGCCAGCCGCCUCCACCCUAGCUCGGCAAACAGCGAGCCAAGCGCGGACGCAUACAUGCGUGAAUCACCAGCCGCCAGCAGAGUAAGGGCAGCGGCAGGUGAGGGUGGAGGAGCCUGUGGUGUGUACGAAAUGGCGAGCAGGCCGUGAGACGUGGACUGGCGGGCGACAUCAGCGAAGGCUGCUCCACAAGCGGGUCCCGCCACCGCAGACAACUCCAAGUAAUCGGAAGAAACGCGUGCGUCACUUAUGUAUUGGAAGGAAUGCGUCGCAUCACAGUGAUCGUCGUGAGUUAUCACCUUUAAUGAAAAAAGAAAGCUUGCUAGUACUUAUUUUAUUCGACGUGAGAAUUAAAACGUUUUUGGACGUCAA